ACUCGUUAAACAUUAGCGACGUAUCCAAAGGGGAGUGUGUAGCUAGUUAGGUACUUCUUAGGCCUACUCUUAAGAUCCCCUAUCCUGUGAACUUUCGCUGGCCGUAUGUCUGUUCCCAGGAUGACCUGCCAAUGGGGGGAGAAUGCUGCCCCAACACCCAAGAUUGGCACCCGACGAGGGCCUCAGUCCAGCACAGUCUUUCAUCCAGGACAGACGUCCAAGCCAGCCUGCCAAUAGGCCUAACAAAUGGGCGCUAACUGGUGCGCCCUGAACUCUGACAAAGCCGACGCUAUAUAUAUUUGCUGAGUCCGUGCUAUGUCUCCUCGCACAGAGGCGCUUCCUUACCGCUAGAUACCAUCAAUUUUGGAAACCAGCCUUGCAGCAGUAUUUGAUCUUGGCCAGUUUUUUUUAUAUUGGGCAUGAUAAGAGUGUUCCAAACAGUAUACAGCACUCUCCCCACGUGGCUAUAUGCAUUGUCUUUAUCUCAGGCCAUUCAAUGUUGCUUGUAAAUAAAUAAGUGCUCCAUUUUCCA